rnacentral:rRNA from 1 species
GAUGAACGCUGGCGGCGUGCCUAAUACAUGCAAGUCGAGCGAACAGACGAGGAGCUUGCUCCUCUGACGUUAGCGGCGGACGGGUGAGUAACACGUGGAUAACCUACCUAUAAGACUGGGAUAACUUCAGGAAACCGGAGCUAAUACCGGAUAAUAUAUUGAACCGCAUGGUUCAAUAGUGAAAGACGGUUUUGCUGUCACUUAUAGAUGGAUCCGCGCCGCAUUAGCUAGUUGGUAAGGUAACGGCUUACCAAGGCAACGAUGCGUAGCCGACCUGAGAGGGUGAUCGGCCACCCUGGAACUUAGACACGGUCCAGACUCCUACGGGAGGCAGCAGUAGGGAAUCUUCCGCAAUGGGCGAAAGCCUGACGGAGCAACGCCGCGUGAGUGAUGAAGGUCUUCGGAUCGUAAAACUCUGUUAUUAGGGAAGAACAAAUGUGUAAGUAACUAUGCACGUCUUGACGGUACCUAAUCAGAAAGCCAUGGCUAACUACGUG